CCUACGGGAGGCUGCAGUAGGGAAUCUUCCACAAUGGGCGAAAGCCUGAUGGAGCAACGCCGCGUGGGUGAAGAAGGUUUUCGGAUCGUAAAACCCUGUUGUUAGAGAAGAAAGUGCGUGAGAGUAACUGUUCACGUUUCGACGGUAUCUAACCAGAAAGCCACGGCUAACUACGUGCCAGCAGCCGCGGUAAUACGUAGGUGGCAAGCGUUAUCCGGAUUUAUUGGGCGUAAAGGGAACGCAGGCGGUCUGUUAAGUCUGAUGUGAAAGCCUUCGGCUUAACCGGAGUAGUGCAUUGGAAACUGGGAGACUGGAGUGCAGAAGAGGAGAGUGGAACUCCAUGUGUAGCGGUGAAAUGCGUAGAUAUAUGGAAGAACACCAGUGGCGAAAGCGGCUCUCUGGUCUGUAACUGACGCUGAGGUUCGAAAGCGUGGGUAGCAAACAGGAUUAGAUACCCCAGUAGUC
rnacentral:rRNA from 1 species